AUUGAACGCUGGCGGCAGGCCUAACACAUGCAAGUCGAACGAGUGGCGGACGGGUGAGUAAUGUCUGGGAAACUGCCCGAUGGAGGGGGAUAACUACUGGAAACGGUAGCUAAUACCGCAUACCAUCGGAUGUGCCCAGAUGGGAUUAGCUAGUAGGUGGGGUAAAGGCUCACCUAGGCGAAGAUCCCCAGCGGGUCUGAGAGGAUGACCAGCCACACUGGAACUGAAACACGGGCCAGACUCCUACGGGAGGGAGCAGUGGGGGAUAUUGGACAAUGGGCGCAAUCCUGAUGCAGCCAUGCAGCGUGUAUGAAGAAGGCCUUCGGGUUGUAAAGUACUUUCAGCGAGGAGGCGUUACCCGCAGAAGAAGCACCGGCUAACUCCGUGCCGGCAGCCGCGGUAAUAC
rnacentral:rRNA from 1 species